rnacentral:rRNA from 1 species
AACGAACGCUGGCGGCAUGCCUAACACAUGCAAGUCGAACGGGAUCCAGGCUUCGGCCUGGUGAGAGUGGCGGACGGGUGAGUAACACGUGGGAACCUGCCUUUUGGUUCGGGAUAACCGCGGGAAACUGCGGCUAAUACCGAAUGCUCCCGAGAGGGGAAAGAUUUAUCGCCAGAAGAGGGGCCCGCGUCCGAUUAGGUAGUUGGUGGGGUAAUGGCCUAUCAAGCCGACGAUCGGUAGCUGGUCUGAGAGGAUGAUCAGCCACACUGGGACUGAGAUACGGCCCAGACUCCUACGGGAGGCAGCAGUGGGGAAUAUUGGACAAUGGGGGCAACCCUGAUCCAGCAAUGCCGCGUGAGUGAUGAAGGCCUUAGGGUUGUAAAGCUCUUUUGCCAGGGAAGAUGAUGACUGUACCUGGAGAAUAAGCCCCGGCUAACUUCGUGCCAGCAGCCGCGGU